UCAGUGUCUCUGCAGAAUGAGAAAAAACCUAUUGCCACAAUAGUGAAUGCCAAGCAAUUGAGCUGAUAGAAAAGGGAAGCAGCAAUUUUGAGAGUGGCUGGUUGCUGCCAGGAAGACUCAUCCUGACCUGCACAGAAGGGCAGAGGCCAAUGGCUGUUCUCUGCCUGAUUAAGAAUGUGCCUGCCCAGCUUGAAUUUGAUGAAGCAUCUCAGGAGGCUGGUGUAAAGGACAGACACAUUUCCAAUGAGAAAAAAACAAACCCAGUCUCAGAAGAUAUGAUUUUCACACCAGCUCAAAUCAGUACUCAUAAGUUUUACAAGUUCCUGUGAACAACUGCAGAUCUUCUAUUCUCACAGAAAGGAAUAAUACUAUACAGUAAAGGGACACUGUGGGGUGAAGCAGAGCAGUAUUAUAUUGGUAGAAAUGUUUUUGCUUUUGAUAAAUAUGGUACGAAAUCAUGUAAUGUUAUGAACAUUACCCUGUGAAUAAAGCUCACAAAACACCUUGCCUAGCUUCAAAGACUUUGUACAUUGUAGAAAGCUGUGAAAGACAUGAAGACUUUCUGAUUGCAGCACAUUUGUUCUAAAGAAGAGACAAUAUUUCAUCGAUUUAAGGAGUUUGGGGUGGUUUUAUUUGUUUGGUUCUGUUUUGGCUUGGUUUCCUGUUUGUUGUUGUUGUUUGUGUGUUUUAAUUUGGUUUGGUUUGGUUUUUUUCAUUUCAAACUCUAAGAUGGGACUUUGUGACAAAAAAUCUUGUUUAUUUUUCUGACUGCAUUGGUUAGUCUAAUAAAAAAAUCUCUUCUGUGAAAAUUUUGGUGGAUAUAAAUACUGAAGGUUACUGAUACAUGCAUCAAAACUACAUUUAGGCAACCCAAUAAAUAAUCAAUACGUUGAGCUAAGCUGAUAUAGUCCUAUUUACCAUUUUUUACCUCUAAUUUUAAAUAUUCAGUGCUACAAUGCAAUCAAAAAUGCUGAUUAAUAACAAAAUCUGAUAUAAAUUAUCAUUUUACAGAAAAUAAUUGUUCCCAUAUUACUCAUUUUCAGACAUGAAGACA